GUCGAGCGGAUGACGGGAGCUUGCUCCUGGAUUCAGCGGCGGACGGGUGAGUAAUGCCUAGGAAUCUGCCUGGUAGUGGGGGACAACGUUUCGAAAGGAACGCUAAUACCGCAUACGUCCUACGGGAGAAAGCAGGGGACCUUCGGGCCUUGCGCUAUCAGAUGAGCCUAGGUCGGAUUAGCUUGUUGGUGAGGUAAUGGCUCACCAAGGCGACGAUCCGUAACUGGUCUGAGAGGAUGAUCAGUCACACUGGAACUGAGACACGGUCCAGACUCCUACGGGAGGCAGCAGUGGGGAAUAUUGGACAAUGGGCGAAAGCCUGAUCCAGCCAUGCCGCGUGUGUGAAGAAGGUCUUCGGAUUGUAAAGCACUUUAAGUUGGGAGGAAGGGUUGUAGAUUAAUACUCUGCAAUUUUGACGUUACCGACAGAAUAAGCACCGGCUAACUCUGUGCCAGCAGCCGCGGUAAUACAGAGGGUGCAAGCGUUAAUCGGAAUUACUGGGCGUA
rnacentral:rRNA from 1 species